rnacentral:rRNA from 1 species
GGGGAAUAUUGGACAAUGGGCGCAAGCCUGAUCCAGCCAUGCCGCGUGUGUGAAGAAGGCCUUCGGGUUGUAAAGCACUUUCAGAAGGGAGGAAAGGUUGUGUGUUAAUAGCACAUAGCUGUGACGUUACCUUCAGAAGAAGCACCGGCUAACUCCGUGCCAGCAGCCGCGGUAAUACGGAGGGUGCAAGCGUUAAUCGGAAUUACUGGGCGUAAAGCGCGCGUAGGUUGUUUGUUAAGCGAGAUGUGAAAGCCCCGGGCUUAACCUGGGAACUGCAGUUCGAACUGGCAAGCUAGAGUACAGUAGAGGGUAGUGGAAUUUCCUGUGUAGCGGUGAAAUGCGUAGAGAUGGGAAGGAACAUCAGUGGCGAAGGCGACUGCCUGGACUGAUACUGACACUGAGGUGCGAAAGCGUGGGGAGCAAACA